AACGAACGCUGGCGGCAGGCCCAACACAUGCAAGUCGAGCGAGGACUUCGGUUCUAGCGGCGGACGGGUGAGUAACGCGUGGGAAUGUGCCCUUCUCUACGGAAUAGCCCUGGGAAACUGGGAGUAAUACCGUAUACGCCCUAUUGGGGAAAGAUUUAUCGGAGAAGGAUCAGCCCGCGUUGGAUUAGGUAGUUGGUGGGGUAAUGGCCUACCAAGCCGACGAUCCAUAGCUGGUUUGAGAGGAUGAUCAGCCACACUGGGACUGAGACACGGCCCAGACUCCUACGGGAGGCAGCAGUGGGGAAUCUUAGACAAUGGGGGCAACCCUGAUCGAGCCAUGCCGCGUGAGUGAUGAAGGCCUUAGGGUUGUAAAGCUCUUUCAGCUGGGAAGAUAAUGACGGUACCAGCAGAAGAAGCCCCGGCUAACUCCGUG
rnacentral:rRNA from 1 species